GUCAUUGGUUUUAUCUCCACAGAGGAGUGUGGUUGGAACGUCAGUGUAUCGCGUUCAUUAAAACAUAAAAGUUCGUUGUUGCGACGAAAUCUUGGAAGCACAACAGGCUACUGUAUUUGGUAUAUAAUUUAUUGCUGAACAAGUCACUUUAGCAAAACAAAGGUCACUGUUCUUCAACGACUCACCCCAUACUCGCAUGACUCAUGAGAUAAAGCCUUCAUUAUAUUAAUUAUAUUUAUAAAAUUUUCAGAUCGGUAGUUCAGGCUCCACUGGCUGUACGUCAAUUAAAUUGGUAUUUCGCAACGCUCAUUUCUAUCGGCGCCUAAUUUAUUUAGACAUUUCAGAAUGAGCGGCAUGAGAAAACGGACAACUACGUUGACGUCUACUGAGUGCAAAGAAAUACAUGACCAGUGGAAGUGCAAAUCGGCUGAAG